CAAAAAUCCUCGGCAUCGUCUCCACCAUUCGAGAAGUCAUCGAAUCUCGAAAUUUCGAGCCAAGUCCUGUUGUGAUGGUGUCUGCUUCGAAAAAGACGAAAACUGGUUGAAAAACUUUAAAAAUUGAACUGGAAUUUAUUAUAGAAAAAGAUGAAAUACUUGGAUCCAG
rnacentral:misc_RNA from 1 species